rnacentral:lncRNA from 10 species
UGAACACUCUAGAGCCAGAUAACUUGGAUUUGAAUCCCUGUUGUACCAUGUUUCAGCUGUGGAACCUUGGCAUGCCUUCGUUGAGCUGAGACCCAGGCUUCUCUGACAAACUCUGUUGAGGAAACUGGAAAUGAUCUACUAAAGAAUAUAGAUCGCUGAGUCUGAUGUUGUACGAAACUCAUAAUACCUGACUGGGGAAAAAAAAAAACCAAUGUAGGAAAAGUGAGUGUCACCAGAAAGAACACAGAAUGAAGUUCCAGGAGGAGGCUAUGGCUCUGGCUGCCACCACCGGUUGAGCUGGUCAGCAGGAAGUUUGACGUGCCAGAAAAACAAGGGAGGGAACAAGAAAGGCAUUUUUCCAACUUAUCCAGAUGCCUCGGAGCCUAGAGUUGAUUGG